CUGCCAUUGAAGUGACCACCUGUUUAAUCAAAUUUGUGUAUCAGUUUGAAUGUCCAAAACGGAUUCUCACUGACCAGGGAAGAGAAUUUGUCAAUUCGCUGAACAAAAACAUCUGUGAAAUGCUACACAUUCAAAGAAGCCUGUGUUCACCAUACCAUCCACAAACAAAUGGCUUGGUGGAGCGGAUGAACGGCACAAUUCAGAGAUGUACUUGAGGCAUGGGGUGGAAAAACAUGCAACGUGUUACUCUCAAAGAUCAGUGCCUAUAAGCUCUUUUACUGGGACAUAAAGCAACUU